UGGCCCAUGGUCACAGUGGUCACAGCUAUGACCAGGACCCCUGGAGGGACAGGCCUGGUCGCACCUACCACAGAAGCAGGGGUCGCCGCUGCGACCAGGCCUGUCCCUCCAGGGGUCCUGGUCAUAGCUGUGACCACUGUGACCGUGGG